UUUUUCAGAUAUAGCAAUAUAUUUGAAAGACAGUGGCGAACGGGUGCGUAACACGUGAACAAUCUACCUUCAAAUGGGGAAUAGCUCGCCGAAAGGCGGAUUAAUACCGCAUAUAGUUGCGUCUCGCAUGAGAUGUAUACUAAAGUCAGGGACCGCAAGGCCUGACGUUCGAAGAGGAGUUCGCGGCCUAUCAGCUAGUUGGCGAGGUAACGGCUCACCAAGGCUAAGACGGGUAGCUGGUCUGAGAGGAUGAUCAGCCACACUGGAACUGAGACACGGUCCAGACGCCUACGGGUGGCAGCAGUUUCGAAUCAUUCACAAUGGGCGAAAGCCUGAUGGUGCGACGCCGCGUGGGGGAUGAAGGUCUUCGGAUUGUAAACCUCUGUCACCGGGGAAGAAACGCUUCAAGUUAACAGCUUGAAGCCUGACUUAACCCGGAGAGGAAGCAGUGGCUAACUCUGUGCCAGCAGCCGCGGUAAUACAGAGACUGCAAGCGUUAUUCGGAUUCACUGGGCGUAAAGGGUGCGCAGGCGGCCAAGUGUGUUAGGCGUGAAAGCCUGAGGCUUAACCUCAGAAUUGCACCUAAAACUACAUGGCUAGAGCAUUGGAGAGGGUAGCGGAAUUCACGGUGUAGCAGUGAAAUGCGUAGAUAUCGUGAGGAACACCAGAGGCGAAGGCGGCUACCUGGACAAUUGCUGACGCUCAGGCACGAAAGCGUGGGGAGCAAAAGGGAUUAGAUACCCCUGUAGUCCACGCCCUAAACGGUGCACACUAGGUCUUGGCGGAUUCGACCCCACCAGGGCCCAAGCUAACGCGUUAAGUGUG
rnacentral:rRNA from 1 species